CCGCCUGUUUAUUAAAAACAUGUYUUAUAGUAAAUAAUUUUAAGUCAGGCCUGCCCAAUGGUUAAUAUUAAAUGGCCGCGGUAAUUUGACCGUGCAAAGGUAGCAUAAUCAUUAGUUUUUUAAUUAAAAGCUGGAAUGAAAGGUUCGAUGAGAAAAUAACUGUCUCUUUUUAGAUUUUAUAAAAUUUUAUUUUUAAGUAAAAAAGCUUAAAUAAGUAUAGAAGACGAGAAGACCCUAUAGAGUUUUAUAAUUAUUUAGAUAUAUAAAUUAUAAGAAUUGAUAUUUAAUAUAUUAGUAAUUAUUUAAUUGGGGUGAUUUAAAAAUUAGUAAAACUUUUUUUUUAUAUAAACAUUGAUUUAUGAAAAAUUGAUCCUAUUUUAAAGAUUAUAAGAUUAAAUUACCUUAGGGAUAACAGCGUAAUUUUUUUUAAGAGUUCUAAUCGAAAGAAAAGAUUGCGACCUCGAUGUUGGAUUAAAGUUAAAUAUUGGUGUAGAUGCUAGUAUAUUAAGUCUGUUCGACUUUUUAAACUUUACAUGAUCUGAGUUUAAACCGG
rnacentral:rRNA from 1 species